UAUACAUUUGAGCAUCCUGUUUGUAUGGAAACGCAGUCAUCCCCUGCACCAAUUGUUAGAUUUAAAAGCUCAGUAUGGACCAGAGAAUGAAAUGGGUCCUACAAGGAACACGAAUUCAGCUGGAACAACAACCGUUGAUGCCUCCACCUUACAUGCUGCUGCCCAAGCGUCUUGGAAUGCCUGCAUUGCACCAUAGCAAAAUCAGCUAUGUGGCUACUGUGCGGUUUUCCCAUCACCGUUGGCGCCAAAAUCUAGCACGUCGAAGACGUUAGACCACUGUCCAUUGCUGUAAGCUUUCUGGGGCGGGGGAGCUGAAGGGAAAUCUUCUUUGGGCG